AACCCGCGCAUGUCCGGGUCAUGACAUGCACCUCCCUGUUGGACUUGGCCGGGCUUUAUGCCCGGUCUUUUUU
rfam:Roseobacter denitrificans OCh 114, complete genome.